rnacentral:rRNA from 1 species
CUCAGGAUGAACGCUAGCGACAGGCCUAACACAUGCAAGUCGAGGGGAAGGGCAGCAAUGCCCGAGACCGGCGCACGGGUGCGUAACGCGUAUGUAACCUGCCUUACACCGGGGGAUAGCCUUCCGAAAGGGAGAUUAAUACCGCAUAACACUAUAUUUCAGCAUUGGUUUAUAGUUAAAACUGAGGUGGUGUAAGAUGGGCAUGCGUAUGAUUAGCUAGUUGGGGGGGUAACGGCCCACCAAGGCGACGAUCAUUAGGGGUUCUGAGAGGAAGAUCCCCCACACUGGUACUGAGACACGGACCAGACUCCUACGGGAGGCAGCAGUGAGGAAUAUUGGUCAAUGGGCGGAAGCCUGAACCAGCCAUGUCGCGUGCAGGAAGACUGCCCUAUGGGUUGUAAACUGCUUUUGUAUGGGAAGAACAUCAGAUACGAGUAUCUGUCUGCCGGUACCAUACGAAUAAGGAUCGGCUAACUCCGUGCCAGCAGCCGCGGUAAUACGGAGGAUCCGAGCGUUAUCCGGAUUUAUUGGGUUUAAAGGGUGCGUAGGCUGGGGAUUAAGUCAGUGGUGAAAGUUUGCGGCUCAACCGUAAAAUUGCCGUUGAUACUGGUUCUCUUGAGUACAUUUGAGGCAGGCGGAAUGUGGUGUGUAGCGGUGAAAUGCAUAGAUAUGCCACAGAACACCGAUUGCGAAGGCAGCUUGCUAAGAUGUCACUGACGCUGAAGCACGAAAGCAUGGGGAUCAAACAGGAUUAGAUACCCUGGUAGUCCAUGCCGUAAACGAUGAUCACUAGCUGUUUGCGAUAUACAGUAAGUAGCAAAGGGAAACCAUUAAGUGAUCCACCUGGGGAGUACGCCCGCAAGGGUGAAACUCAAAGGAAUUGACGGGGGCCCGCACAAGCGGAGGAACAUGUGGUUUAAUUCGAUGAUACGCGAGGAACCUUACCCGGGUUUAAAUGGUGAGUGACAGGGGCAGAGAUGCCUUUUUCUUCGGACACUCAUCAAGGUGCUGCAUGGUUGUCGUCAGCUCGUGCCGUGGGGUGUCGGGUUAAGUCCCAUAACGAGCGCAACCCACGUUGUCAGUUACCAGCAUGUAAAGAUGGGGACUCUGGCAAGACUGCCGGUGUAAACCGCGAGGAAGGUGUGGAUGACGUCAAAUCAGCACGGCCCUUACAUCCGGGGCUACACACGUGUUACAAUGGCCGGUACAGAGGGCAGCUACACCGCGAGGUGGUGCGAAUCCCAUAAAACCGGUCCCAGUUCGGAUCGGAGUCUGCAACCCGACUCCGUGAAGCUGGAUUCGCUAGUAAUCGCGCAUCAGCCAUGGCGCGGUGAAUACGUUCCCGGGCCUUGUACACACCGCCCGUCAAGCCAUGGAAGCCGGGGGUACCUGAAGUCUGUUACCGCGAGGAGCGGC